CCUACGGGUGGCAGCAGUAGGGAAUAUUGCUCAAUGGGGGAAACCCUGAAGCAGCAACGCCGCGUGGAGGAUGAAGGUUUUCGGAUUGUAAACUCCUUUUGUUAGAGAAGAUAAUGACGGUAGCUAACGAAUAAGCACCGGCUAACUCCGUGACAGCAGCCGCGGUAAUACGGAGGGUGCAAGCGUUACUCGGAUUCACUGGGCGUAAAGAGCGCGGAGGCGGGAUAGCAAGUCAGAUGUGAAAUCCUAUGGCUUACCCAUAGAACUGCCUUUGAAACUGUUAUGCUAGAGUACGGGAGGGGUAGGAGGAAUUCGUGGUGUAGGGGUGAAAUGCGUAGAGAUCAGGAGGAACACUCAUUGCGAAGGCGACCUGCUAGACCGCAACUGACGCUGAUGCGCGAAAGCGUGGGGAGCAAACAGGAUUAGAUACCCCAGUAGUC
rnacentral:rRNA from 1 species